rnacentral:lncRNA from 1 species
AGACUUUUGAGUGUAAAAGUAUGAUAGAAAUACUUUUAAUUUAUUGAAAUGCCUGUUAAAUUGUUCCAGUCAUUGGUUACUAGUGAUUGUCAGUCCAUUUCGAUAUUUCAUAGCACUUUUACAAAUUCUGAAAAAAAUAAAAGAAAAAACUAAUAUUCCCAUGGGAAAAAUAUAUCUUCCCAUGAGAAGAAAUUUGUCCCGCACAGUGUUCAACUCCCACAAAAAGGAGUCUAACCAACAAAGA